AUAUCAAUAAGCGGAGGAAAAGAAACCAACAGGGAUUGCCUCAGUAGCGGCGAGCGAAGUGGCAAAAGCUCAAUUCGAAUCGGCUGCCCACGGUAGCUGAAUUGUAAUCUAAAGGUUAGAGCAAAAGGUAAGAUUGAGGCAUAAGUUGCUUGGAACAGCACGCCAAAGAGGGUGAUAGUCCCGUAUUUGGCCUCGAUCAAGCCGAAUGCUUAGACCAAAGAGUCGGGUUGUUUGGGAUUGCAGCCCUAAAUGGGAGAUAAACUUCUUCUAAGGCUAAAUAUUGAUGGGAGACCGAUAGCGCACAAGUA
rnacentral:rRNA from 1 species